GCCAGCCUGUGCAGAAGAAAAAGAAAAGAUACAACACAACCUUCUAAGAUACUUCAAUUCUUAUUUUUAUGGCAUAUUUUCCAUUUUAUCAUAUUCAUUAUAAAGUUGUUAAAGUUUAGCGUCAUUUGUAUCCUCAAGAUUCUUGCAUACUUAACUUUCCAAAAGAUCAUUCACCUCCACAGUCAAAUUAUCAGCUCCCUCAACUUGUUACCUAAAAAAGCAGCAGUUAAAUCUCAAAAUUUUAUGUAUUUUAUAAAAUAAAAUGAAACAGUUUAAGGAUAAAUCAAAGUAGUAGGUUUUAUUUUGCUGUUAGGUUUUUUUUGUUUAGUUGGUUUUGAUUUUUUAUUUUUUUAAUUGUUUUUCUUGUAGAGCAGUUUCCUGAUCCAACUGACUGUGCAACUGCUUGAAUACUAACACUAUCUAAAGGGGAAAAAAGAAGUAGUGACUACCUGUGAGCUUAAAGGACUAAAAAAGGGCUUUAUUUUUAUUAUUUUUUUUAAACCAACUAUACUUCUACAAAUUAAAGUGGCAAAAGAAAUACAGCUUAUGCAUAUGUAAGUUUAAAAAAAAAAAAAAAAGGCGAUCCACAACUAUUUUCUCUAUUUUUCUUCAACCAUUCUAUUUAUGAGGUAGAAAAGUACUUAAAGAGUGUUCCUUAAUUUAUUUAUAUUCUUUGCAGCAAUGGACUUCCUCAGCAAUAACAAUUUAAAAAUGCUGCUGUUUCCAAUUUUGGGGCCAGAAGUACCUCUUCUCCACAGAGAAAAAAUGCAAGAGGAUUGCUACAGUAUCCAACCUCAGGCAUUUCACAGGGUUUUGGGGUUGUUUCAAUUCCCUCUGUAUCACUUAGGCGAUUCUGCUGAGCAAGAGUUGAGAGACCUGGAAAGAAAAACAAUUACCUGGUGACAAUUCAGUUAGAAAUUCUACCUAAGAAAUACUUCAGAUAAUGUUAUAAAGGAGAUCUUCAUUACCUGUUCUUUCAAGCAAGUAAAGCUACAUAUUAGAGCAUUUUUUUUUCCAAUUGUUCCUUAAAACAGCCCUUAUAAGAAGUAUGCAUAUAAGAGACAUCAGAAUUUAUUUUGCAUUGUAUGUAAUUAAUCACUUGCAGGUCUUUACAGAGGUGAGUUCUUGUAUAUUGCACUCUAACCUAUAAAGACUAAUAGGUUUACUUUUAUAAAUAAAUAAAGAUAAAUGAAAUAAAAAUAUUAUUCAUUUUUUGAUGUUACCUCCAAAGCCCACUGAAGUUCUGUGAAGAAAUUUAAACCAUACUUGCAUGUAUGAUAAAUGGAAAUGAACAAAAAAACGAAGAGAUAUAUUUUACUUAAAUAUUUCAAUUUUUUUUUUUUAUAUUUCUGAAGAAUACACCUCCCCUAUGAAGAUAGUCUGAGAGAGCUGGGGCUGUUCAGCCUGGAGAAGAGAAGGCUCCAAAGACACCUGAUAGCUGCCUUUCAUUACCUACAGGGAGACUGUAAGAAAGAAGAAAACAGACAAGAGUCUGUUGUGAUAGACAAGGGGAAAUGGUUUCAAACUGAAUAAGGGAAGAUUCAGAGUGGAUAUAAGGAAAAGGAUUUUUCACAAUAAGGGUGGUAAGGCACUGGGAUGAACUGCCCAAAGAGAUGAUGAAUGCCCCAUUCCUGAAGACAUUCAAGGGCAGGAUGGAUGAGGUUCUGAGCAAUCUGAUCUAGCUGUAGCUGUCCCUGCUCACUGCAGGUGAAUUGGACCAGAUACCAUUAAAGGACCCUUCUGACUCAAGAAAUUCCAUGAUUGUAUAAUUUUAAUUUAAUUUGUUGGUAUGUUUCUUCUGUGGUGCUUUGAUUAGCAAAGCCAGACUUUUAACAUGUUAAAAUCUUCAGUGUUAGAGACCAUAAGGAAAGUAGAAUGAGUGCAGAGACUUUUAAAACUUUCUCCCAGAGUAAGUGAUCUAUCUAUAGCUGUCUUUGUUCACUGCAUGGGAAUUGUAAAGAUGACUUCUAAAGGUCCCUUCAAACUGAAAUGAUUCUAUGAUUCUAUAACAUUUAUUCCUUCUUAAUUUCCUUUUAAUAUAUCUUAAAAUAACACUCUCAGCUUACCUUUAUC